GUUUACAGGUUUACAUAGCUUUGGAAGGUGGAUGCUCGAGACCUGAUCGCAUGAGAGUCAGUGGAUCGCGUGCUGACUGAGCGCUUCUCCAUCAUCACUUUCAUCUUCAGCAAGUUCCCAGCAGACGACACACUUUCUCUCUGACGCCGUGUGGACUCAUCUCUGUGUACCAGAAAGCUCUGAACUCAUGGAACCAAGAAGUUACAUUAGUAUGAGAGCACAGCACCAGGGGGAGUGGUAGGAUCAUACCUCUUGCUCUCUCAUGUCCGUCUGCCAUGAAGUAGGCAUUCCAGAUUGGCUCCUGAUUGCUGGCCUUGCUGAACUACAGGGUCAGCACACCUCCAGUUCUCCUCCCGUUUGUGCUUCAUCCUCUACCACAUUGGGGGCACCUGGCACCCCUCCCUAUCAUGGCUGGCCAGAUCAAUGGUAAGAUCCAUUCGAGCAGAAUGACCGGAGGUCGGCAUCAAAGGCCCCCUGCUUGUCUCUCUGCCACCUGGAGCUCAACGAGGGUCAUGGGCUGCCUGGGCCACCACAGAUUCCUUUUCCCUUCUGCUGGCUGGGUUGCUGAGUGGGACCCAGGCAGCAUCUGAGUUGGCUUUGCCCUGGCCCAGCAGCCCACAUGGGGAGCAGGCCAGAGGUCAAGCCCAUCAGAGCACUUUGCUUCAUCUGAUGAGGGGAUCUGGUCUGGAUUUAAUGAGGCAACACUGAUUCCACGUCUCUUUACGCACGUGAGCAGACAUAUUUAUUCUGUCAACCUAAUGUGUGUAUUGUAGAUAUAAUUCUGUAAUUUUCUUUCUCCUCACAGGAUGCAGCCUCUGAGGCAAUUUCAGGUAUAUUUUAAUGCUUCAAAUUUAUUUAACAAUUUAAAAUCUCACAUAAGCCACACUCACUUGCCUUCAUGUCAAAUAAAAUAAUCAAAUGACUAUAAUUUUGGGAGAUUUUGAACUUUUUAUUUUCAGCAUACAGAAGAUGGCCAAUUAUUGUAGAACAUGCAACAUUUCCCAUAUGAAUGCUGUGGCUCUCUUCAACAAAAUGUUGGUCAUAUGGUAAAAGAACAAGCAAUUAUUUUCAUGCAGCUGUCAAUGCACUGAACAGGCUAAUACAGCCUAAUUAAAUGUCAUUUUUUGGGACACUAAUGAAAAUAACCAACUCUGAGGGGUUUAAAUAUCGCCGUGAAGCACUUCAACUGCCGGAGCCCGGCAGUCAAUGAUUUGAUCCUUCUAUGUCCCUUACUUCUGUGAUGAGGUAUGAAAGGGGAUGAAGUGAGAGAGACCGAGAGAAAGAGAGAAAAAAGGCAAGUUGGCAAGUAGAGGAGUGAAGGGGGAGACAGAUGGCGUGAAGUCUGCGUCUCUUUGGCGUUGGGCUCAUGGUGCUAAAAUCCUCCCUCUCACACAUUCCAACAAAUCCAACCAGGAGGUUCAGGAUUAUGUUCCACUGCUCUCGAAAUGAAGCAUCUGACCAGGAUAGAGCAACAGACACAUACAUACACUCUUUCUCACUGUCUCUCUCCCUCUUUCACACACAUGCACACAUACAUUCACAUACUGUCAGUCACCCAUAACCUAUCCAGAAGUUUAAGUUUUUAUUAGUAUGUCACCUACUCUGAAGUUUAUUGGCUUGUUAAAAUAGGAAGCUUGGGGAGCUGGGGAGAUAGAACAUGGGGGCAUGACUGGAAAUAUUGCAGUGGAGAAAAAGAGACCAAGAGCCAUUCAAGUGUAAAUCUCAUUGAGUAGACAUGGUGCCAAUGCAUGUAAACAAAGUGCAUACAAUCCAUUUGCAGCAGAAAAAUAAGGAGCUUUGCGGUUAGUCACACUAGCCACAACAUUAGCCUGUGCUUCUGAUAAGGUGAUUGACAGUUAGUCCCUAACAGUUUGGACUAGUCUUGCAAUAUCAUUAGUUUCCUAUAAUAAAAGUACAUUGAGUACAUCUAAUUGAAUCAAACAUUGGCAUAUACAGCUAAAUCUUUGGACCGCAUGUAAUCAGUCAUUCAACUGCUUCUGUUCCAUGCAUCACUGCUGUUUCUGGAAGCAGCAAAGCUUUAUUUUAACAAAUCGUUAUGUUUUAUUUGUCAUUUAGCUGAAAUGUACCGCUAAUAGCAGUUGACAUAUAAAACUACCAUGUGUUCCUCCUGUCAGCCAGAUGCAAAAGGCACAGAUGGGCUUCGUUUUCAAAAAUGGAGCUCUUGAUAGCGGACAAUUAAUGUGCCUUUGACUCUCCCAUUGAUUCUGGAAAAUGUAUUCAUUGAAGGCAUAUGAUCAGCCACGAUGAAUCUUGUCAGAUGUGCCAAAUCACAAAUUAAAUGCUUUAGUGCCUCUCCCUCAUCCUCCAGGGCUAAGAGCUCUUACACUCUCUCUCUUUCUCUCACUAUUUCUCUAUCUCUCUUGCUCACUCUCUAGAUGGAUGGCUGAGGUCAGCCUUCUGUUUGCACUGCCAUACUAAUGAAUGAGUCAGCUGGGAAUAUGUAAUACUGUGAAAAGGU